GAAGUUCUUCAAGUAGUUGCGUUUUAUAUUUGAUGUGCCAGUUUACUGGUGAAAAUAUAAGAUGAGGAAAGUCCGGGCACCAAAGGGCUGGUUGCUUCGUAAUGCGAAGUGCAUGUGAGUGUGAGGAAAGUGCCACAGAAAAGUAGACCGCCAGAAAUGGUAAGGGUGCAACGGUGAGGUAAGAGCUCACCAGUAUUGAAGGUGACUUCAAUACUAGGUAAACCCCGCUGAAGGUGCAAGAUUAAGGUAUAGGUUUGGGAAAUAGCUGCCCGCUAUCCAGAACUGCCGACAUCGCUAGAGGGUAUUGGUGACAAUGCUCCCAGAUAGAUAACUGCAAAAACAGAACCCGGCUUAUGAGGGACUUCCGUA
rnacentral:RNase_P_RNA from 1 species